GCCAGGCAUGAUGGCUCAUGCCUGUAAUCCCAGCACUUUGGGAGGCCGAGGUGGGUGGAUCACCUGAGGUCAGGAGUUUGAGACCAGCCUGGCCAACAUGGUGAAACCCCAUCUCUA
rnacentral:SRP_RNA from 2 species